UGGGGCUUUAUUUAUUGAUGGCCAGGUGUUGCUCGGAAAGCCUUGGAGAUGGAUGCUGCAGCAGUGUAGAUGUUGUUGAGAGCGUAUCCCAUUUGGCAGCAUCAGAUAGCAGCUUCUCCAUGUUGGUGAUGCAGCUUUUUAUGUUGUAAGCCGACGCUAAGUAGACUGCAUCGUCAGCGUAUGUAGCAAACAUAUUGCAGCUGUAUCUGGGUGGCUUUGGCAUGUCGCUAGUGUACACAUUGUACAGCACAGGUCCGAGAACACUGCCCUGUGGUACUCCAGCUGCAAUGUUCAUUGUGGAAGAGGUGACGCCGUUGCAAAAAACCCUGAAGGAUCUGCCGGUUAGAGGAGACCUUCGUGCCACACUCUGUCAAAAGCUUCCUGAACGUCCAUAUAAACUGCUGAACAGUGCAUUUUCUUCUCGUGUGCCUGUAGGAUGAACUGGGUGACUCUGCCAAUUUGCUGUUCUGCUGAGUGCUGUUCACAAAAACCAAACUGAUGGUUUGGAAUAGAACUAGCAAAGCUGCUUACCUCAAACAAUCGACCCAGUAGGAGGCGCUCGAGAAGCUUAGAUAGCCCAGAGAGAAGACUGAUUGGCCUGUAGGAUGCCAGCUGAUCCGGUGGUUUGCCUGGCUUCGGUAUCAUGGUGACCGUGGCAGUCUUCCAUGCUUUUGGAUAAUGGCCAAAUUUGAGAGCAGCAUUAAAGAUGAGCGUCAAGUAAGUGAUGGCAGAGAUCGGCAGUGCCUUUAUCGCUCGAUUGCAAAUGCGAUCAAGCCCAGGUGACU